GAAUUGUGUCACUCCCAUUGAGCAGGUGUGGGGGCCUCUCCCACAUGGUCCAGGUCCACCACUCUGUCAAAGGUCGCACAGCCCAGACAAAAACAGCACACAGCAGUGUGUGAAUGAGCCGGGCUUUCUCCUUCCCUCCACGUAAUAAAAGGUGCCUGAGGUUGUUGAAACACAGUCCAUUUCUCCUGGGAAUGACAAGAAUUUGAGGGAUGCUGACUUUCAAGGAAUACUGCAUGACAGGCAUCAAGAUAAACCUGAUGAAGAAAACAUAGGCCAGAAUCUCGGAAUCGGGAGCAAAGUAAUACAGCUUCGGGGACAGGCACGUAAUGAGGUCAUGAUGUAGCAGACUCCCUGCAGGACUGGCGGCCCCUGUUCCCUGGGCUGUUCUGGCUCUUUCAGGACUGCACAGUGUAUCUGAGAGAGGAUUUUCAGGAGGCCAGAAAAUCAAGCUGGAGGGAUUCUCAGCGUGUUGGGCGAUUGCUACCUGUUUUGAGUCAGACCAUUGCCACGUCCUUUUCCCCACCUUGGAGACUUCAGCCAGACUAAUCUUCCUUAGAAAUUACUUUCAUCUGUCUCCUUGCUCAAGCAUUUCCGAAAGCUCAGUGCACUGCACUACGUCAGCCUCUGUGUCCUCCAGGAUCUGAUCCUGCUAUUCUGGAGAACAAACUCCUCCCACCAUCCAAGUGCCCCUCAGCUGUUUUCCUUCACUAAUAUUUCCAAAACACACGACAACAGUUGGCAUCGCUCGCAUAUAAACAGCUCUUCCAUGUCACUGAGAAAACGAGCAAGAUCCAGGGAGGAAAAAUGGAUACAGGAUAUAAAUAGAAAAUCCUCAAAACAGGAAUUUCAAAAUGUCAACAAACAGGCAAAACUUUCUUUCAACAGCACUAUUAUGACUGAGAAAUAGACCUAGAACACAGCCUCAGAUAAUUCUCACGGUGGGAGGUUUCAAAGAUGAUGAAAAACAUCAUGAUACCAGACACAACACCUCAAGGAAGAAGGCACAGUGAGUGAGACACAGCAGACACGACUGACUGCAGAACCAAUCCUGCACACUCUUAGACACUGGAAUUGUCUAAGCAUCAGAACGGACACGAUUGCUAAGAAUUCCUUCAGAUCUGCCCAUGGCGUGGAGCCACUUCUUCAACGUUCCAGAGCCUAAACCCUGCGAAUCAUGGGUUGCUGGCUGGCAGACGCUUCUCUUGAGAGUUGAUAGUGUCCUUGGGCCAACACUCAACCAAGGAGCCCUGCGGUGAGAUCACCUGUCACUCUAAGGAGAGAAACUGAUUCCUACAGAACAGAGCUGGGCUGCAGUGGCCUCAGGGCAAUAAUGUCACAGGCCUUUGAACGCAUUCAACAAAACUCCCAGUCUCUGGUUAACAAGCAAAUGCGCCUGAAAGAAUGGGACAGAUAAUGACAGGUGAAUGCCCCCCGACCUGUGUGGCCAAUGGCCCGGCAGGACUGGCAUUACUCCAAAAUUGUCAGAAAUGCAGGCUCUCAGGCCCCGCCCCACCACCCAAACCAGAAACCAUGUGGACAAGAUCUCCAGGUGAUUCAAAUGCACAAUAGGCCUGCAUGAGUAAUGCAUAUCAAGAAAUCUUCGCUUCUCUUAACUACCUAGGGGGACACCAAGGGAACCUCCUAGAAGAAGUCAUGGAUGGGAUGGGGCUGGAUGCCACCCCCUCAAAGGAGCACAGACCUGCUGGCCCCCCUCCCUCCCUCUGCAGCCCAAGCUCAUGAGCUGUGGGGAGUGGGAGCAGGGGGUCCCUCCCACAUCCUCAGGAAGAAGCCACCAUGUCAUUGGGAGCCUGUGUUACACAUCAGUGUGUGAGGAAAGAAUCUGGAAACAACUGACUAAGAGGAUGGCAUGAUCUCAGCUCACUACAACCUCUGCUUCCUGGGUUUGAGCGAUUCUCCUG
rnacentral:lncRNA from 1 species